rnacentral:rRNA from 1 species
CCUACGGGGGGCUGCAGUGGGGAAUAUUGGACAAUGGGGGGAACCCUGAUCCAGCCAUGCCGCGUGUGUGAAGAAGGCCCUCGGGUUGUAAAGCACUUUCAGUGAGGAAGAACGCCUGGUGGUUAAUACCCAUCAGGAAAGACAUCACUCACAGAAGAAGCACCGGCUAACUCCGUGCCAGCAGCCGCGGUAAUACGGAGGGUGCGAGCGUUAAUCGGAAUUACUGGGCGUAAAGCGCGCGUAGGUGGCUUGAUAAGCCGGUUGUGAAAGCCCCGGGCUCAACCUGGGAACGGCAUCCGGAACUGUCAAGCUAGAGUGCAGGAGAGGAAGGUAGAAUUCCCGGUGUAGCGGUGAAAUGCGUAGAGAUCGGGAGGAAUACCAGUGGCGAAGGCGGCCUUCUGGACUGACACUGACACUGAGGUGCGAAAGCGUGGGUAGCAAACAGGAUUAGAUACCCGAGUAGUA